UACGUAGGGUGCAAGCGUUAAUCGGAAUUACUGGGCGUAAAGCGUGCGCAGGCGGUGAUGUAAGACAGGUGUGAAAUCCCCGGGCUUAACCUGGGAACUGCAUUUGUGACUGCAUCGCUGGAGUGCGGCAGAGGGGGAUGGAAUUCCGCGUGUAGCAGUGAAAUGCGUAGAUAUCGAGAGGAACACCAGUGGCGAAGGCGGAUCUCUGGGCCGGAACUGACGCUGGAGGAGCGAAAGCGUGGGGAGCAAACGGG
rnacentral:rRNA from 1 species